CGCGUAGGCGGUUCGUACAGUCAGACGUGAAAUUCCCGGGCUCAACCUGGGGGCUGCGUUUGAUACGUACGGGCUUGAGUUUGGAAGAGGGUCGUGGAAUUCCCAGUGUAGAGGUGAAAUUCGUAGAUAUUGGGAAGAACACCGGUGGCGAAGGCGGCGACCUGGUCCGAUACUGACGCUGAGGCGCGAAAGCGUGGGGAGCAAACAGGAUUAGAUACCCUGGUAGUCCACGCCGUAAACGAUGUGUGCUGGAUGUUGGGCAGUCUGACUGUUCAGUGUCGUAGCUAACGCGAUAAGCACACCGCCUGGGGAGUACGGCCGCAAGGUUGAA
rnacentral:rRNA from 1 species